GACGAACGCUGGCGGCGUGCUUAACACAUGCAAGUCGAACGGAAAGACCCUGCUUUUGUGGGGUGCUCGAGUGGCGAACGGGUGAGUAACACGUGAGUAACCUGCCCUUGACUUUGGGAUAACUUCAGGAAACUGGGGCUAAUACCGGAUAGGAGCUCCUGCUGCAUGGUGGGGGUUGGAAAGUUUCGGCGGUUGGGGAUGGACUCGCGGCUUAUCAGCUUGUUGGUGGGGUAGUGGCUUACCAAGGCUUUGACGGGUAGCCGGCCUGAGAGGGUGACCGGCCACAUUGGGACUGAGAUACGGCCCAGACUCCUACGGGAGACAGCAGUGGGGAAUAUUGCACAAUGGGCGGAAGCCUGAUGCAGCAACGCCGCGUGCGGGAUGACGGCCUUCGGGUUGUAAACCGCUUUCGCCUGUGACGAAGCGUGAGUGACGGUAAUGGGUAAAGAAGCACCGACUAACUACGUG
rnacentral:rRNA from 1 species